rnacentral:rRNA from 2 species
UACAGGGGAUGCAAGUGUUAUCCGGAAUUAUUGGGCGUAAAGCGUCUGCAGGUUGGCAAAUAAGUCUUUUGUUAAAUUUCGAGGCUCAACUUCGAAUCUGCAAAAGAAACUAUUUGUCUUGAGUAUGGUAGAGGUAAGGGGAAUUUCCAGUGGAGCGGUGAAAUGCGUAGAUAUUGGAAAGAACACCAACAGCGAAGGCACCUUACUGGGCCAGUACUGACACUCAGAGACGAAAGCUAGGGGAGCAAACGGG